AUGAAUUUACUAUCCUUCAAUAUUAGGGGGUGCGGUAUUUCGAUGAAGAGAAGAAGAUUGAAUCAAAUAAUAGCAAAUGGUCAAGUAGAUAUGGCUUUUCUACAGGAAACCAAGAUGCAACAUAUGGAAGAUAAAUUUGUAAGGAGCUUAUGGGGAAAUGAUGAUGUUGAAUGGUCGGCUAAAAACUCUGAAGGAGCAUCCAAAGGUAUCUUAAAAAUGUGGAAGAAAGGUUCAAUUGCACCUCUGUACAUUUUCCAAACUGAAGGCUCUUUAGUUUUAUACGCUAAUGUGAAAGGACAGACAUGCUACUUCAUAAAUGUUUAUUCUUCAUGUUCUUUAGAGAAGAAAAAAGUCUUGUGGGUGGAGUUAGAAAAUCCGAAGGAUCGGUAUAGAGAAGGUUGGUGGUGUAUAUGA